GCGCGUCAUGGCCACGCCGUGAAACACCCCACUUAUCAAAGGUUGACCUCGGAUCAGGUAGGAAUACCCGCUGAACUUAAGCAUAUCAAUAAGCGGAGGAAAAGAAACCAACAGGGAUUGCCCUAGUAACGGCGAGUGAAGCGGCAACAGCUCAAAUUUGAAAUCUGGCCCCCGGGUCCCGAGUUGUAAUUUGCAGAGGAUGCUUUUGGCGAGGCGCCUUCCGAGUUCCCUGGAACGGGACGCCAUAGAGGGUGAGAGCCCCGUCCGGUCGUGCCGCCGAGCCUCUGUAAAGCUCCUUCGACGAGUCGAGUAGUUUGGGAAUGCUGCUCUAAAUGGGAGGUAUACGUCUUCUAAAGCUAAAUACCGGCCAGAGACCGAUAGCGCACAAGUAGAGUGAUCGAAAGAUGAAAAGCACUUUGAAAAGAGGGUUAAACAGUACGUGAAAUUGUUGAAAGGGAAGCGUUUAUGACCAGACUUGGGCCCGGUUAAUCAUCCAGCGUUCUCGCCGGUGCACUUUGCCCGGCCCAGGCCAGCAUCAGUUCGCCGCGGGGGACAAAGGCUUCGGGAACGUGGCUCCCCCGGGAGUGUUAUAGCCCGCUGCGUAAUACCCUGCGGUGGACUGAGGUCCGCGCACUUGCAUGGAUGCUGGCGUAAUGGUCACCAACGACCCGUCUUGAAACACGGACCAAGGAGUCGUCUUCGUAUGCGAGUGUUCGGGUGCCAAACCCCUACGCGUAAUGAAAGUGAACGCAGGUGAGAGCUUCGGCGCAUCAUCGACCGAUCCUGAUGUUCUCGGAUGGAUUUGAGUAGGAGCAUUACGGGGCCGGACCCGAAAGAAGGUGAACUAUGCCUGUAUAGGGUGAAGCCAGAGGAAACUCUGGUGGAGGCUCGCAGCGGUUCUGACGUGCAAAUCGAUCGUCAAAUAUGGGCAUGGGGGCGAAAGACUAA
rnacentral:rRNA from 1 species